rnacentral:rRNA from 1 species
UACGUAGGCAGCAAGCGUUGUUCGGAGUUACUGGGCGUAAAGGGUGCGUAGGUGGCUCUAUAAGUAUGGUGUGAAAUCUCCCGGCUUAACUGGGAGGGUGCGCCGUAGACUGUGGGGCUAGAGUGUGGGAGAGGAAAGUGGAAUUCCUGGUGUAGCGGUGAAAUGCGUAGAUAUCAGGAGGAACACCGGUGGUGUAAACGGCUUUCUGGACCAUAACUGACACUGAGGCACGAAAGCGUGGGUAGCAAACGGG